GACGAACGCUGGCGGCGUGCUUAACACAUGCAAGUCGAACGGAAAGGCCCUGCUUUUGUGGGGUGCUCGAGUGGCGAACGGGUGAGUAACACGUGAGUAACCUGCCCUUGACUUUGGGAUAACUUCAGGAAACUGGGGCUAAUACCGGAUAGGAGCUCCUGCUGCAUGGUGGGGGUUGGAAAGUUUCGGCGGUUGGGGAUGGACUCGCGGCUUAUCCGCUUGUUGGUGGGGUAGUGGCUUACCAAGGCUUUGACGGGUAGCCGGCCUGGGAGGGUGACCGGCCACAUUGGGCCUAAGAUACGCCCCAGACUCCUACGGGAGGCAGCAGUGGGGAAUAUUGCACAAUGGGCGGAAGCCUGAUGCAGCAACGCCGCGUGCGGGAUGACGGCCUUCGGGUUGUAAACCGCUUUCGCCUGUGACGAAGCGUGAGUGACGGUAAUGGGUAAAGAAGCACCGGCUAACUACGUG
rnacentral:rRNA from 1 species